GCGUCCCAUUAGCUAGUUGGUAAGGUAAAGGCUUACCAAGGCUACGAUGGGUAGCUGGUCUGAGAGGAUGAUCAGCCACACUGGGACUGAGAUACGGCCCAGACUCCUACGGGAGGCAGCAGUGAGGAAUAUUGCGCAAUGGGCGAAGGCUUGACGCAGCAACGCCGUGUGAGCGAUGAAGCCUUUCGGGGUGUAAAGCUCUGUCAGAAGGGAAGAACAAUUCCGAUUUGUCGGAAUCUGACGGUACCUUCAGAGGAAGCACCGGCUAACUCCGUGCCAGCAGCCGCGGUAAUACGGAGGGUGCAAGCGUUGUCCGGAUUUAUUGGGCGUAAAGGGUGCGUAGGCGGAUUAGUUAGUCGGAAGUGAAAUCUCUACCGCUUAACGGAGAGUGUGCUUUCGAUACUGCUAAUCUAGAGUUCAGGAGAGGGUGAUGGAAUUCCUGGUGUAGCGGUGGAAUGCGUAGAUAUCAGGAAGAACACCGGUGGCGAAGGCGAUCACCUGGACUGACACUGACGCUGAUGCACGAAAGCGUGGGGAGCAAACAGGAUUAGAUACCCUGGUAGUCCACGCCGUAAACGAUGGGCACUAGGUGCCGGGCGAUUCGACCCGUUCGGUGCCGCAGCUAACGCAUUAAGUGCCCCGCCUGGGGAGUACG
rnacentral:rRNA from 1 species